GAAAUGCGAUAAGUAAUGUGAAUUGCAGAAUUCAGUGAAUCAUCGAAUCUUUGAACGCACAUUGCGCCCGCCAGUAUUCUGGCGGGCAUGCCUGUCCGAGCGUCAUUUCAACCAUCAAGCCCCCGGGCUUGUGUUGGGGACCUGCGGCUGCCCGCAGGCCCUGAAAACCAGUGGCGGGCUCGCUGUCACACCGAGCGUAGUAGCAAUCACCUCUCAGGGCGUGCUGCGGGUUCCGGCCGUUAAACAGCCUUACAAAACCCAAGGUUGACCUCGGAUCAGGUAGGAAGACCCGCUGAACUUAAGC
rnacentral:misc_RNA from 1 species